UAGUUUUGAUUAUGAUUGUAUGUAUAUAUGUUUGCAGCAUGAUGAGGUCAUUUCCAUGGCAUGGAAGGCUGCUUCCACACCAUGGAGAUGGACAACCAUUUCUAUACAUGUGCACUGAAAUGACUUUUGUAUCAUCUCUAGUUGUUAAAAUGAUUUUAGAACCUAUCUCAUUUCAUUACUUUUGCUGUGUCAGGAAAAUAUUAUCUAG
rnacentral:misc_RNA from 1 species